UUUGGCGAAAGAGGUGGCGAAAAAAUAAGUGCCCAAGGGGAAACCCAAUUUGGAACCAUAUAUAUAUAUCUUCUCAUAUAUGUUAUGAUGGUAUGAUACUAAACCCCUAACGGGAAGGAUUGUGCCUAAUAUUCAUAUGAUGAAGACAUAAUCUUUCAAUCAGUUUAAUUGAAGUCUGGAGCUGGCAUGUCAGUUAACUGCUAGUAGUUUGUUG
rnacentral:lncRNA from 1 species